UUCCGGCCCGAUCCAGGUGAUUAUCAGGCGGAGGCUGCAGGAGAAAGGGCUCAUUAACGCGACGCUAAUUGCCCCUCCCUGCCCUGCCAGAGGCACGAGAAAGGAGAUUAAAGUUCUUGCUGGGGGAGAGCGAAAAAAAAACCACCUCGAUAAACCCUCUGGAGCAAUCCUGGGAAAUGUGUCCCUGCCGGUUUUAUUUCCUUGGAUCACAGAAAGGGAAGUUCCUGUGCCGGGUUUGUGUCUGGGGAUCUUCGUUCCCUGCUGGAAUUACGGGUUUGGAUGUGGCUCUGCUGCUCUGAAGUUGUCAUUUAAUGCGGAAAACACCGUGACGAACCCCGCCAGCAGCACGGGUUUGGUCUCCUUCCAAGGAAACAAAGCUCCGCGUUCCCACGGGGAACAGAGAAUUCCCAGCACGAAUAUGGGAAGGAGGAAGGAGAACAGCUCGUGCUGCCCCCAGCACCUCUCCAGGCUCUGAGGAUGGUUUCCCUCCUUCCCAAGGCCCACGCAGCAAUAAAUCGCCCUGCAGUAUCACGGGAAUGGUUAACCUUGAUUUCAGCUCUCGCAACACCUCCUUCCCCCGUGCAAGGUCGAAUUCCAAAUAAUCCUUCGGAGAGGAAUGAAAUAAAGCCGGGGCUGCUC